UAACGAAGGGGGCUAGCGUUGCUCGGAAUCACUGGGCGUAAAGGGCGCGUAGGCGGCCAUUCAAGUCAGGGGUGAAAGCCCAAGGCUCAACCUUGGAAUUGCCUUUGAUACUGUUUGGCUUGAGACCGGAAGAGGUCGGCGGAACUGCGAGUGUAGAGGUGAAAUUCGUAGAUAUUCGCAAGAACACCAGUGGCGAAGGCGGCCGACUGGUCCGGUUCUGACGCUGAGGCGCGAAAGCGUGGGGAGCAAACAGG
rnacentral:rRNA from 1 species